CUGUUAUUUCUGCAUAGAUCUGCUCCUCAGGUUCUUCUGUUUUCUUUGUUGAAGGUGGAGAUCGAAAUUUUCUUGCUGUUUGUAAUUAACAAUAACAAAGACAAAUCCAACGACCGCUACCACUAUGAUGACCAGGAUGAUGACGAUGACAGCUGCGACUGUCCCUGAUGAUCUGCCUUUUUCACCACUGUUUGAUGCUCCUUUCUCGAGACCUGGUGCCUAGAAAACAUGUUGAACUGUUUAUGGUUGAUGCGUCGGAAGAAAAUGACUGUGUGGUCGAUGGAUUCGUAACUGUAAACGUAGAGGUCUGAGUUGACGAGAAUCUCACUAUAUCAACGGGACCUAAAGAAUCAUUGUAAAAGAUAUUGUCAAGAUUUAAGUCGUACAAUAAUUGAAAAAAUCAGUCAAAUAAUUUAUCAGAAGUAUAGAACUUCGUUAGAGACAUCCAUAUAAAAGUUAUGUAACUUCGCAAACGGUAGAAUAAAGAAAAGACAAAUAGAGGAUAUUACAUGGGCGCGCGGAGAUACGAAAUUUAUCUUCGAGUGUUGAAAAGAUCUCUCACGAGUGAGCGCACCGAACGAGUGAGAGA